GACGAACGCUGGCGGCGUGCUUAACACAUGCAAGUCGAACGGAAAGGCCCCCUUGUGGGGUACUCGAGUGGCGAACGGGUGAGUAACACGUGAGUAACCUACCCUUGACUUUGGGAUAACUUCAGGAAACUGGGGCUAAUACCGGAUAGGAGCUACUGCUGCAUGGUGGGGGUUGGAAAGUUUCGGCGGUUGGGGAUGGACUCGCGGCUUAUCAGCUUGUUGGUGGGGUAGUGGCUCACCAAGGCUUUGACGGGUAGCCGGCCUGAGAGGGUGACCGGCCACAUUGGGACUGAGAUACGGCCCAGACUCCUACGGGAGGCAGCAGUGGGGAAUAUUGCACAAUGGGCGGAAGCCUGAUGCAGCAACGCCGCGUGCGGGAUGACGGCCUUCGGGUUGUAAACCGCUUUCGCCUGUGACGAAGCGUGAGUGACGGUAAUGGGUAAAGAAGCACCGGCUAACUACGUG
rnacentral:rRNA from 1 species